GAUGAACGCUGGCGGCGUGCCUAAUACAUGCAAGUCGAGCGAAGCGGGGACGGGUGAGUAACAUGUGGAUACCCUCCUCUAUGACUGGGAUCACUUCGGGAAACCGGAGCUUAACCGGAUACUCAUAGUUGUAUCCGCGCUGCAUUAGCUAGUGGGUAAGCUAACGGCUUACCAAGGCAACGAGGCAUAGCCGACCUGAGAGGGUGAUCGGCCAGACGGGAACGAAGACACGGUGCAGAAUCCGACGGGAGUCAGCAGUAGGGAAGCUUCCGAAAGGGGCCAAAGCCUGACGGAGUAACGCGGCGUGAGUGAUGAAGGGCUUCGGAGCGUAAAGCUCUGUAAUUCGGGAAGCGGUACCUAAUCAGAAAGCCCCGGCUAACUACGUGCCAGCCGCCGCGGUAAUUC
rnacentral:rRNA from 1 species